GGCGAACGCUGGCGGCGUGCCUAAUACAUGCAAGUCGAGCGGACAGAUGGGAGCUUGCUCCCUGAUGUUAGCGGCGGACGGGUGAGUAACACGUGGGUAACCUGCCUGUAAGACUGGGAUAACUCCGGGAAACCGGGGCUAAUACCGGAUGGUUGUUUGAACCGCAUGGUUCAAACAUAAAAGGUGGCUUCGGCUACCACUUACAGAUGGACCCGCGGCGCAUUAGCUAGUUGGUGAGGUAACGGCUCACCAAGGCAACGAUGCGUAGCCGACCUGAGAGGGUGAUCGGCCACACUGGGACUGAGACACGGCCCAGACUCCUACGGGAGGCAGCAGUAGGGAAUCUUCCGCAAUGGACGAAAGUCUGACGGAGCAACGCCGCGUGAGUGAUGAAGGUUUUCGGAUCGUAAAGCUCUGUUGUUAGGGAAGAACAAGUACCGUUCGAAUAGGGCGGUACCUUGACGGUACCUAACCAGAAAGCCACGGCUAACUACGUGCCAGCAGCCGCGGUAAUACGUAGGUGGCAAGCGUUGUCCGGAAUUAUUGGGCGUAAAGGGCUCGCAGGCGGUUUCUUAAGUCUGAUGUGAAAGCCCCCGGCUCAACCGGGGAGGGUCAUUGGAAACUGGGGAACUUGAGUGCAGAAGAGGAGAGUGGAAUUCCACGUGUAGCGGUGAAAUGCGUAGAGAUGUGGAGGAACACCAGUGGCGAAGGCGACUCUCUGGUCUGUAACUGACGCUGAGGAGCGAAAGCGUGGGGAGCGAACAGGAUUAGAUACCCUGGUAGUCCACGCCGUAAACGAUGAGUGCUAAGUGUUAGGGGGUUUCCGCCCCUUAGUGCUGCAGCUAACGCAUUAAGCACUCCGCCUGGGGAGUACGGUCGCAAGACUGAAACUCAAAGGAAUUGACGGGGGCCCGCACAAGCGGCGGAGCAUGUGGUUUAAUUCGAAGCAACGCGAAGAACCUUACCAGGUCUUGACAUCCUCUGACAAUCCUAGAGAUAGGACGUCCCCUUCGGGGGCAGAGUGACAGGUGGUGCAUGGUUGUCGUCAGCUCGUGUCGUGAGAUGUUGGGUUAAGUCCCGCAACGAGCGCAACCCUUGAUCUUAGUUGCCAGCAUUCAGUUGGGCACUCUAAGGUGACUGCCGGUGACAAACCGGAGGAAGGUGGGGAUGACGUCAAAUCAUCAUGCCCCUUAUGACCUGGGCUACACACGUGCUACAAUGGACAGAACAAAGGGCAGCGAAACCGCGAGGUUAAGCCAAUCCCACAAAUCUGUUCUCAGUUCGGAUCGCAGUCUGCAACUCGACUGCGUGAAGCUGGAAUCGCUAGUAAUCGCGGAUCAGCAUGCCGCGGUGAAUACGUUCCCGGGCCUUGUACACACCGCCCGUCACACCACGAGAGUUUGUAACACCCGAAGUCGGUGAGGUAACCUUUUAGGAGCCAGCCGCCGAAGGUGGGACAGAUGAUUGGGGUG
rnacentral:rRNA from 1 species